UCUGCCCGGGCUGGCUGCUCCGUGACCGCUCCCAGGCUGCAGGGCAGCUUCAGAGUGGGCUGGGCGCACCCCAGGACCCGAGGGGAAACCUGACGUAACGGGCGAGGUCUUCCCGUGCUCCGCGGUGAUUUCCUCCCUGAAAUCUAACGGUGGUAGCGGCCACGCUGAACUCCUGCCUCUGUCGCGAAGACCCGCUCUCAGGCCCGCACCUCGGCCUGCUGCCACCUCCACCCCCCUCCCCACACGACGUUUGGGGCCUCAAACUGUGUACAGCCGGGUGUCUCGUGUCCACUUAGGGUGUGCUUCACUUUGUGCAACUUGUAAAAGAAAAUCUAGAUUAAUAUCAAAGAGAAAGCAGAGUUAAUCAUUCUCCACAGGUGAAGUCCAAGUACCGUUCUUCUUAAGGCAAGCUUAUGUGCGAUAUUAUUAGCAUUUGUUAUUAUGGCUAAAGUCCUACCUGUGUAUAAUUAUUAACAGUUUUCAAAGGCUUACACUCUCAUGAUCUCAUUCAUUCCCCACGCCAGCCUUACAAAAAAAAAAAAAUUUUUUUUUUUUUUUUUGUACAAGGUCUGUCUUAUUCCCAUCAUACGGUGAGCUCACUGAAGCUCAGAGCUGGGCCACACCCCUGAGAUUGGGAGGGUCUCUACUGUCUCCAGGUUCCACUCCCAGCUCCUGCCACUAGGCCACAUCCAAAAACAGCGCUCUGGUCCCAGGACUGCUCAGAGGAAGGAACACCUGCUGGCCGGGGUUUUCAGGGUUUAAAAACGAAGUAUGUGUGUGGACCUAAGGGAAGCACACACAGAAACACUGCCCAGGUAUCAGCACCGGAGACCACUCUAGCCAGCCCCCAGGAACUUCCACCAUCCGGACCCGGCAGACCGUGGCUGCCCAGGGAAGGGACCCCACUGCUGCUCUUGGUGCUGGUGCUGGCUUGCCAUGCUGGGCUGGACACUAAGGACACGCUCACCACCCUGUUCAUAAAUCUUAGGACCUGUGGGGCUGCCUCUCUGCUCAGGGCACCUGAAGCCAUCUGGUGUUGCUAAGAUAUUAACUGACUCGUAAUUUUUUGGUUUUUAACAAGUCCCUUAGAACUGCACAUGAACAAAAUGCCAUGGCCUGUGCUCAGCUCUGUAUCUGUGGACUCAUCACCUAUCGCAAGGUCUAGCUCGCUACCCUUCACGCUUUCACAGAGCCAUCUUACAGGAAGGAUCUGCCAAGGGCUCCAACUUUUCCCUUUAAAAAAAAUCCAAAGGAUAAAAGCAAUGACUGCCACGUUGGUGGUGUGGAACCACACUGAUGAAGCACUGGAACGAAAGCACCGGUCCGGACAGCCAGGAUCAGGCUGCUGUGCUGGCCGGUGCAGUCCACCAGGUCACUGUGAGAAGUGUGGCGUCUGGGGUCUUAAAUGCUAACAAGCGGCCAUCUAAGAUGCAUCAAUUGGUCUCAACCCAUUUGGAUCAAAGGAGAAUGAAGAACACCAAGGUCACACGAUAACUAUGAGCCCGAGACAGAAAGGGCCACAUGAACUAGAGCCUUACAUCAUCCUGAAACCAGAAGGACUAGAUGGUGCCUGGCCACAACUGAUGACUGCCCUGACAGGGAACACAACAGAGAACUCUUGAGGGAGCAGGAGAACAGUGGGAUGAAGACCCCAAAUUCUCAUAAAAAGACCAGACUUAAUGGUCUGACUGAGACUAGAAGAAUCCCAGCGGUCAUGGUCCCCAAACCUUCUGUUGGCCCAGGACAGGAACCAUUCCCGAAGACUACUCAUUAGACAUGGAAGGGACUGGACAAUGGGCUGGAGAGAGAUGCUGAUGAAGAGUGAGCUACUUGUAUCAGGUGGACACUUGAGACUGUAUUGGCAUCUCCUGUCUGGAGGGGAGAUGGGAGGGUAGAGAGGGUUAGAAACUGGCAAAAGGGUCACGAAAGGAGAGACUGGAAGAAGGGAGCGGGCUGACUCAUUAGGGGGAGAGUAAAUGGGAGUAUGUAGUAAGGUGUGUAUAAGCUUACAUGUGACAGACUGACUUGAUUUGUAAACUUUCACUUAAAGCACAAUAAAAAUUACUUAAAAAAAAAAUACUUAGUCCUUACCCUACACGAAGGCUCCAGUUUGAGUGAAGAGGGGCUUAAGGACCACUGGGAACUAAGCCUCAUUCACGCUGACUGUGAUUGUCACCAUACCCAUGCACUGACGUGUGUGGGUGCACCUGACCCCCCUGGAACAAAGCUCCCUCCAUGUACCAACAGCUACCUCACACAGCAGCAAGAACAUUCCUUGUGAUGGCAAGGGUAGAGGGGAUGGUGUUUAAGUGCACACUGUAGGUCCUGGCAGGUACUGACUGAGCACAAACAGCAGCAGCCUCUAGGGAGAGCUCUUCCUACCCAAUGACUGGAAUGCUUGUGGUCAGGUGCUGGGAGCCAGAGGGCGGGAGGACGAGGGAGGUGUUGCCUGUACUGUGGUCAGUGCACUUUCCAUCGGUAGGGAAACUUUACAGCCCUGUUUGUCCCUUAGUGGAGGAAUAGUCUACUCGUGGGCUAUUUAAUUAACUACUGAGUUAGGUUCCUAUCUGCCCCUAGAGUAUUAAAUGAGAAAAGCAAGUGACAGAAUAAUGUAUGGUGAACGAUCACAUUUUUGUGAGGACGACACUUGUUUGGAGGUGAUGUGCUGUGUGCUCCUGUGUACAUGGAAGGAGCAGAGUGAUGCCCCAGGAGAGGCGAGAUGGAAAGAGGGUGUGAGAGAGCUUACCUUUCCUUAUUCACCUUUCACUGGUUCCAGUGGACACAUAUUACUUUUACCAGUGAAAAAUUUUAUCAAGAGAAAAGGUAUUAAUGUGAUUUUCAGCUUCUGACUCAUAUAGCCAACCAUCUCCUUCUCAUAUGUAUCAGAACACCCAAGCUCUCCCAGAAAGAACUGAGAUUGCCCCUCCCCCGGCUCUCCCACCAUUUCCUACUUCAGUGAGCAGCGGUCCUACCCACCUCACUGUCUCUGCAUUUACUGCCUUCUCCUACAAACUUCACCUUGACCUCUGUCUCUGACCUUCACUAAAAACCAAAAACCAAACCCAGUGCUGUCGAGUCAAUUCCGACUCGCAGUGACCCUAUAGGACAGAGUAGAACUGCCCCACAGAGUUUCCAAGGAGCGCCUGGCGGAUUCAAACUGCCAACCCUUUGGUUAGCAGCUGUGGCACUUAACCACUAUGCCACCAGGGUUUCCACCUUCACUAGGACCUGCCAAUUUCACCUCCUCCAUAACUCAUUCACUGAUAUACAUCUCGGCCACCUCCCCUAGUCUGCACUCCCAUCACUCCCUUUGGACUGCCACAAGGCCUACCAGCUGGCUACCCUGCCACUGUGGACUGCACUCUGCUCCUCAGGCACAGAGUCCCCACAGUGUCAUCUCCUUGCAGGGUGGGGCCAGCAGCCUGAGCUGCCUGCUGCUCCUUGCCAAGGUCUGGCCUGCUCCAGCUCAUCUCUCCACUGUGUCUCGUUUGCCCUCUCUUUUCUGGUCUCUUCCCACAAUUCAUUCCUCCUGCCCCCACUGUGUUUAGGGAGUCUUCCAGGACCUCCCCUACAAGGUGAGGUUCCUGAUUAUUGGCUCAUAGAGCACUUGGCAUGCUGCGGUUUUAUGCUUGUUUAUAUACUUAUUUGCUUAAUGUCUUUCUAUAUAGACUGUGGGAGUCCCUGGGUGGUAACACGCUCGGCUGCUAACCAAAAGGUUGGAGGUUUGAGUCCACCUGUAGAUACCUUAGAGGAAAGGCCUGGAGAUCUACUUCUGAAAAACCAGGCAUUGAAAACCCAAUGGAUUAGACAUAAUCAAAUACCUUUUGGGAUUGAUUUUCUGGGUUUGAAGGCUUAGGACCAUAGUCUCAUGGAACAACUCAAUCAAUUGGCAUAAUUACAGUUCAUAAAGUUGAUGAGUAGUGUCUGGGGUUUUAAAAGCUAAUGAGUGGCCAUUCAAGAUACAACUGUCAGUCUCUACUCGUCUGGAGCAAAAGAGAAAGAAGGAAACCAAAGAUUCAAAGAAGGAACUGGCCUAUAGGCCUAAAUGUCUAAACAGACCAUGGCCUCAUCUACCCUGAGGCCAGAAGAACUAGAUGGGACCCAGCUACCACUACCGACUAUUCUGAUCAGAGCUACAAUAGAUAGAUCCUGAUAGAAUGGGAGAAAAAUGUGGGACAGAACCUCCAGUUCCUUAAAAGAAGAAAAAAAAAAAAAAAAAAGACUUAAUGGAUCAGUUGAGACUAGAGGACUUCUCGAGACUACUGCCCUGAGGUACUCUUAAAACCUUGAACUGAAACUAGCCCGAGAUCACCUUUUAGCUAAAUAACAGAUUGGCCCACAAAAUAAAGAAUAUCACCCGUGAAUACCGUGCUCCUUUAAAAAAUCACAUAUAUGAGACCAAAUGUUCAACAAUUACUUUAAAACAAAGAUGAGGAAAUAAAGGGACAGGGAAACUACAUUAAUGGAAAUGGAACAACCAGAAUAGAAAUAAUGAGAAUAUUCACGCCUUGUGAAGACUGUAACCAAUGUCACUGAACAACUUGUGUAGAAAUUGUUGAAUGGAAACCUAAACUGUGUGUGAAACUUCACUGAAAACACAAUAAAAUAUUAUUAAAAGGGAGAAAGAAAGAAAACCUUAUGGAGAACAGUUCUAUUCUGACACACAUGUGGCCGCCAUGAACUGGAGUCAAUUCCAUGACAGCUGGUGGGUGUGACAAACUGUAAGCUUCAAGAGACAAGGGACCACUUCUGAUUUGUUCCUUACUGUAUCCAAUGUCUGAGAUGGAGUAGGUACUCAAAAAUUUUUGAUGAAUAAAUGAGUAAAUGCAUUUAAAUGAAUAAGGUAUUUAAUGAAAUAUAAAUGCCAUCUCCAACAAGAUGACUACCCACCUCGGACACUGCAAAUGGAGUUUGCUUGAGUUCUGGAACCCAGUUCAUCCAGCCUCACUGGGCCGGUCAGGUCAGAGGCACAAGCACCAGAGGCCACACACAAAAGGGGCUUUUGAAGCAAGAGGACACUUCGUUCAACACAAACCAUACGACCUGCCAACACAGACAGUUAAGAUUACUAUAGAGCUGAAGAAAAGCAGCUUCUCCUGAGGAACAGCCAUCACCUUUGCCAGCUUCCGAUGUGCCAUAUGGAAGAAGUGUGCUGGCAUGGGGCAGGCCUGCUCCCUCCAAAGCCAGGUUCUGUUAGCACAGCCCAGGGUGGGUUUUACGGUAUGUGAAGCAUAGCUCAAUAAGAAAAAAUACAAUUCAGAAAGGCUUUUACUUUGAUUCCUUAAAGAAUGGACUGGCUGACCUAAGCUUAUGCACUUAUAUAUUGUAGCUUUGUGUUUGUUUUAAAGAUUGAUCUUUUAGGCAAUAACUUCAGGGGCUUCUGCACCUUUCAAGCGUGGCCCCCAAUCAGACAGUUCUUGAGUGAAAGGGGGCAUCCCUCACAGUGGGUGUCAACUCCACAGAGGGUGCUCGUCCUGCUAAGGUGACUGGUUCUAACUCCCAGCCAUGACAGGGGCCAAUGGAAGCCAAGGCUGCUUCUGCAGCCCUCGUCUGCCCAAAAGGCUGUGGCCACGACCGGCUUCGUGGAGGUGCCAGCAACUCUAGAGUUAAGACAGUGGCAUGCAGGAUCAACAAGUCAUUUUAUGGGCAUCUAUCACUGCCAUUGGACCAGAACUGUCAAGAAGAAAAAAAGCAUACCCUGGUCUCGCAGAGCGUCUCUGAAGAGGAUGCUGUGAGGGGCAGCC